rnacentral:rRNA from 1 species
AGAGUUUGAUCCUGGCUCAGAUUGAACGCUGGCGGUAUGCUUUACACAUGCAAGUCGAACGGUAAUAGCUCUUGUAGAGCUGACGAGUGGCGGACGGGUGAGUAAUACAUAGAAAUCUGCCUAAAAGUAUGGAAUAACUUUUGGAAACUUAGGCUAAUACCAUAUGUUCCAUCAGUGGAAAAGUAGGGGACCCCUAUAUAGGGUUGUUUAUUACUUUGUAUGAAGUAAACUUUAUAUGAGGCCUUACGCUUUUAGAUGAGUCUAUGGCGGAUUAGUUUGUUGGUGGGGUAAAAGCUUACCAAGACUAUGAUCCGUAGCUGGUUUUAGAGGAUGAUCAGCCACAUUGGGACUGAGAUACGGCCCAAACUCCUACGGGAGGCAGCAGUGGGGAAUAUUGGACAAUGGGCGAAAGCCUGAUCCAGCAAUACCGCGUGUGUGAAGAAGGCCUGAGGGUUGUAAAGCACUUUCAAUGAGGAAGAAAAAAUGAUUGUUAAUAGCAAUCUAUUUUUGACGUUACUUGUAAAAGAAGCACCGGCUAAUUCUGUGCCAGCAGCCGCGGUAAGACAGGGGGUGCAAGUGUUAAUCGGAAUUAUUGGGCGUAAAAAGUACGUAGGUGGUUAAAUAAGUUAUGUGUGAAAGCCCUGGGCUCAACCCAGGAAUGGCGCCUAAUACUGUUUGGCUAGAGUUUUGUAGGGGAAAGUAGAAUUUUCGGUGUAGCGGUGAAAUGCGUAGAUAUCGUAAGGAAUACCAGUGGCGAAGGCGGCUUUCUGGACAAACACUGACACUGAGGUACGAAAGCAUGGGGAGCAAACAGGAUUAGAUACCCUGGUAGUCCAUGCUGUAAACGAUGAAAACUUGCUGUUAGAAAUAUAAAUAUUUUUAGUAGCGUAGCUAACGUGUUAAGUUUUCUGCCUGGGGAGUACGACCGCAAGGUUAAAACUCAAAGGAAUUGACGGGGGCCCGCACAAGCGGUGGAGCAUGUGGUUUAAUUCGAUGCAACGCGCAGAACCUUACCUACCCUUGAUCCUUAGGAUAAAACAGAGAUGUUUAAGUGCCAUUUUGGAACUAAGUGACAGGUGCUGCAUGGCUGUCGUCAGCUCGUGUCGUGAGAUGUUGGGUUAAGUCCCGUAACGAGCGCAACCCUUAUUCUUAGUUACUAACGAAUAAUGUCGAGGUCUUUAAGAAAACAGCCGAUGAUAAAUCGGAGGAAGGCGAGGACAACGUCAAGUCAUCAUGGCCCUUAUGGGUAGGGCUACACACGUGCUACAAUGGUUAAUACAAAAGGAUGCGAAACUGCAAAGUUGAGAAAAUCUAUUAAAGUUAAUCGUAGUUCGGAUUGAAGUCUGCAACUCGACUUCAUGAAGUUGGAAUCGCUAGUAAUCGUGAAUCAGAAUGUCGCGGUGAAUACGUUCUCGGGCCUUGUACACACCGCCCGUCGCACCAUGGAAGUAGGUCGCACCAGAAGCAAUAUGUUUAACUUUAUUGAGGACAAUUGUUAUGGUGAUAUUUAUAACUAAGGUGAAGUCGUAACAAGGUAACC